rnacentral:tRNA from 1 species
GGAAGGAUGGCCGAGUGGUUGAAGGCACUGGUCUUGAAAACCAGAGACCUGGAAACGGGUCCGGGGGUUCGAAUCCCUCUCCUUCCGCCA